GGGCGGGACGCGGCGGGGACGCGCGGGCGCCAGGGACCCGCGCGGGGAGAGCGGCCGCCCCGCCUCGCCCCGCCCACCCGUCCCCCGCGCCCCCGCCCGCGCCUGCUCGCCCUGCGCGUGAACCUGCCCCAGCCCGCGCGCCUGGGUCGUCUGGCCCCCCAGCCUCCCCCGCCGAGGACAGAGAUCCGCUGUGCCGGUCAGGUCUCGGCGUCCUGAAGGAAGGGUGUGCCGUCCAGUGCGACAGGCAUCUGUGUCCAGAGCUGCUGUCGGCCUAGUUCCCAGGACACGUCUGCUUUAAGCCUUCUUCGCCCGUCUGACAGAGACUGCUCACAGACCACCCCUUAUUCUUUCCCGGUUUUUCCUGGUAUUAACUGCAGAAGACACUCCCUGUCCCAGGCCUCAGUGUUGGUCCAGGCUCUGCUUCGAAGUUUCCGAAGACGUAGCUCUUGUCCCAGCCUUGGUUUGGGGCGGUGACUCAAGAUCUUGCUUUCCCAGCACUCAGCUGAAACAUCUCUCAAAGGCUAUGUGUCACAUCAAGCAGGAAACAGAGCCAAAAGAGAGAAGACCACGAGUAAAGGUCAUGAGUGUGGGAGGCAGCCCAAGACCACAACAGAGGGGCCUGGGGUUCUUUUUCCUCUGGAGGAAUUUGUUGCUACUUCUGAAGACUUUUGGAUGAUUUACAAGUAGCUUAAAUCAAAAAAGAAUCAGGGGGCACAUUUGCCACACAGGCUGCAACCCUCUUGUUUCUGAAGAACCUCACAUGGACAAGAGUCUAGCACAGCACAGAUCAGAUCCGGCCUCUCCACCAGGAACUACAAGCAGCAAAGAUGAGACGCGGCUUAAUCAGCCCCUCGACUGGAUGCAAAUCACGUUCUUGAUCUUCUGUCUCUGAGUUAUGAAGAGGAAAGACUGCUGCUCGUUCAGCCUCAUGCCAUCUCAAUCACGGAAAGGAAGAAAACAUCAUUACACUCAUUUUCUGGGUUAAAAAAUGAGGCACCAGACAAAUUAAAGGCCUGACCUUGGGUCAUAAAGUGAAUCCAUGUGGCGAAUAUCUCGGCUAUUCUGACACUCGAGUGAUGCCACUUUUUGUCAACCCAUCAUUGCUGUUUUCUAACAUGUCUGAUCUGGGGCUAAGUUUUUUGGGUUUUUUUUUUUUGUCUUUUUGCCAUUUUCUUGGGCCGCUCUCGCGGCAUACAGAGUUCCUCGGCUAGGAGUCCAAUUGGAGCUGUAGCCACUGGCCUACGCCACAGCCACAGCAACGCGGGAUCCGAGCCUCGUCUGCAACCUACACCACAGCACACCACAGCAUGGCAAUGCCGGAUCCUUAACCCCCUGAGCAAGGGCAGGGAUUGAUCCCACAAUCUCAUGGUUCCUAGUUGGAUUCAUUAACCACUGCACCAUGAUGGGAACUCCUGGGGCUAAGUUCUUUUAAGCACAUGGUUAGAAGCCGGAGAAUGAAAAGCGAGGUGCUUGUUCCCCUCUGCCCUCUUCUGAAGCGGGUACGUCAGACCCAGCAGUGGAUCGGGAAAGGACUGUCCUCCGGCUGCUCGUAGUUCCCGCUUGUCUCUGACCCAAUGGUGGGAGACCGGGCACCUCCUUGCCAUGUUAGUCCUGCACUCUCAUUUCUUACCUAGGACAUGACGGUAGGGUAGUCUUCUUAGCCCACCGACAGGCGGGCUUGAGGAAACAGCUGAUAAUGUGUUCCAACGUGCUUUGUAAAGUACAAAGUAUCUCAGAAACGUCAAGGCUUGUGUGUUGGUAGCAUUGUCUGUGCAACUGUUCCUACCAACCAUGCCCUUUUCUGCCUUUUCUGAAUGCCCAUAGCACCACCUAUACCUUUCUUAAGAUGCUCAUCAGGAGCUCCCAGUGUGGUGGCGUAGGUCAAAGAUGCUGCUCGGAUCCAGUGUUGCUGUGGCUGUGGUGUAGGCUGGCAACUGCAACUCUGAUUCAACCCCUGGCCUGCAAACCUCCAUAUGCUGCAGGUGCA
rnacentral:lncRNA from 1 species